rnacentral:rRNA from 1 species
UACGCAGGGGGCUAGCGUUGCUCGGAAUCACUGGGCGUAAAGCGCACGUAGGCGGAUUGCUAAGUCAGGGGUGAAAUCCUGGAGCUCAACUCCAGAACUGCCUUUGAUACUGGCGGCCUUGAGUCCGGGAGAGGUGAGUGGAACUGCGAGUGUAGAGGUGAAAUUCGUAGAUAUUCGCAAGAACACCAGUGGCGAAGGCGGCUCACUGGCCCGAUACUGACGCUGAGGCACGAAAGCGUGGGGAGCAAACAGG